rnacentral:snoRNA from 1 species
GGAAAAUGAUGUGUGUUAUCUUAAAAUGAUCUGCAGAUGCCAGCAGGAUGGAGACUGGUGAAGAUGCUAAAUGCACUUGUUAAUGCUCUAAA